AAAAGUUUAGUUAAAAAAUAACAUUAACUUGUCAAGUUAAAAUUACUAUUAUUAGUAACUUUUA
rnacentral:tRNA from 1 species